AAGACUAUACUUUCAGGGAUCAUUUCUAUAGUUUCUAACUUGAGAAAUGUGUUUCUAAAGUGUUUGGUCUCGCCAACCAUGAUGAAGAAUCAUGACAUUUCCUUCUGAGCGUGAAGCUGAUGGAGAGUAAUGGUUCAUUUCAUAUGUUCUCUGUCAUUGAUGAUUGUUCUUUACUUCUUUGUGAAGUAUUGAGGAAGGGAAUAUGAUC
rnacentral:snoRNA from 1 species